rnacentral:rRNA from 1 species
GACGAACGCUGGCGGCGUGCUUAACACAUGCAAGUCGAGCGGUAAGGCCUUUCGGGGUACACGAGCGGCGAACGGGUGAGUAACACGUGGGUGAUCUGCCCUGCACUUCGGGAUAAGCCUGGGAAACUGGGUCUAAUACCGGAUAUGACCUCCUAUCGCAUGGUGGGUGGUGGAAAGAUUUAUCGGUGCAGGAUGGGCCCGCGGCCUAUCAGCUUGUUGGUGGGGUAAUGGCCUACCAAGGCGACGACGGGUAGCCGACCUGAGAGGGUGACCGGCCACACUGGGACUGAGACAUGGCCCAGACUCCUACGGGAGGCAGCAGUGGGGAAUAUUGCACAAUGGGCGAAAGCCUGAUGCAGCGACGCCGCGUGAGGGAUGACGGCCUUCGGGUUGUAAACCUCUUUCAGCAGGGACGAAGCGCAAGUGACGGUACCUGCAGAAGAAGCACCGGCUAACUACGUG